GUCACAUUGCUUAUUCGAGACUAGAUCUACAAAUAACACUGCAGAUUUUGUUACCAUCAACUUGCAUUAUACAACUGACAGACUGAAACGGUUGGACUCAAAAAUCUACAUUUGUGUUCCACUGGAGAAACAAAGUCACCUACAUCUUGGAUGGCCUGGGGACUACCUGACCUGUUCCUG